ACGAACGCUGGCGGCGUGCCUAAUACAUGCAAGUAGAACGCUGAAGGAGGAGCUUGCUCUUCUGGAUGAGUUGCGAACGGGUGAGUAACGCGUAGGUAACCUGCCUGGUAGCGGGGGAUAACUAUUGGAAACGAUAGCUAAUACCGCAUAAGAGUAGAUGUUGCAUGACAUUUGCUUAAAAGGUGCAAUUGCAUCACUACCAGAUGGACCUGCGUUGUAUUAGCUAGUUGGUGGGGUAACGGCUCACCAAGGCGACGAUACAUAGCCGACCUGAGAGGGUGAUCGGCCACACUGGGACUGAGACACGGCCCAGACUCCUACGGGAGGCAGCAGUAGGGAAUCUUCGGCAAUGGACGGAAGUCUGACCGAGCAACGCCGCGUGAGUGAAGAAGGUUUUCGGAUCGUAAAGCUCUGUUGUAAGAGAAGAACGAGUGUGAGAGUGGAAAGUUCACACUGUGACGGUAUCUUACCAGAAAGGGACGGUUAACUACGUG
rnacentral:rRNA from 1 species